GAACGGAUGAGUGACACGUACUUGUUGCUAAUACCCCGUGGGCAAAGCAAAAGGUGAAACCUACCCCUACAUUUGAUUAGCUAAUUGGUGAGGCAAAUAGUUUACCAAGCCGAUUAUCAAUAGUGUGCCUAAGAGGAUGAUUAGCCACACUGAGAUUGAGACAUGGCCUAGACUCCAAUGGGAC
rnacentral:ncRNA from 1 species